AAGCGAAGCAAAUCAGUCCUUCCAUUUUUAUAGUUACUUUGAUUCCCAAAAAUUGCAUCCAAUGGCCAAUUUAAUCCACAUACUUUGGAUUUUGCUAUUUCCGCCCUUUUUGCUUCUUUCCUUCCAUUCCUUUUUAUUCGUAGAGUUUCACCUAUUAAACAUAAAACAUAACAAUUUAGAAUGUAUUUUGUCAAAAGACUAUCAAAUAUCACUAUUUUAGAGUCCCGAAUAAGUAUAUAAAAUACACUUAUCACGAAACAAGAGCGAGUUCUUGAUACAAAUUAAAUUCAAUCAAUAGGACUAAGUCUCUUAGUGGGUUAGACUAAAGCUUGACUAAAUUUGGACUUAUUGUUUGUCUUUGUAACUAGACAAGUCAUUUCCCAUACCGGAUCAGGAUUCCUUUUUUUUGCUCUAUCAUUCCCCUAGAAUGAAUANNNNNNNNNNNNNNNNNNNNNNNNNNNNNNNNNAAUACCAUACUAAUAUCCACUUUUUCAAUGCAAAACCGACGUGUGUAUGUGAAGAACUAAGUAGACAUUAAUGAAUUUUCAAGUUGUUCCCAUUCCCGACCCUCCAUGGUCAAAUAUAUCUUUUCAUCUUUCAUAAGAUUCACACACCCCAAAACUUACUCUUUUUACACUCUUUUCCCAGUGUGUGAUCUAAGAUUGAAUUUUAAUCACUAUCCUCACCUCUCCAAUUCAGGUGGAUGUCACUAGUUGUAAGUUAACACAUCAAUGAAUAAGGAUUCUCAAAUUAUUUGAUUGCUUCGACUGCCAAGAUUCAAUUAGGUUAAUUAUCCUUUAUUGAAAGUCAAGUUCUCUCAAACAAGUGUUGGGACUUACAAGGCAUUUAGUGCUUUUUUUUUGGCACUCUUCUUAAGUUUUCUAGAUGACUCAUGUAGCAGGCUUUAGGCUGAUGACUCCCAAAUCAGAUGACUUUAGGGCACCAAGUUUUCAAAUACCCUUACAGGCUUAAUUACCUGAGUCAAAAAGGCUUCGAAGAGAGCUUUUUUUUUUUUAGCAAUUUUAUCUCUGAUUGCCUUUUAAAUGACCCCUGUAACGAGCUUUAGGCCGAUGACUCCCAAGUCAGAUGACUUUAGGGCACCAAGUUUUAAAAUACCCUUGCAGGCUUAAUUGCUCGAGUCAUAAAAGUGCAAAUUAAAUUUUAAAAUAUAUGCCUUGAUUAGUGCAAUGUCCCUUAUCACACACCUAUUCAAGCAAAUCGACCUCAUAUUUAAGACUUUCACCCAAUUUUAUCCUAUUAAUCUCAGACAAUCCACACAAAAUUUUCACACAAGGAAUCCACAUUCAUAUCCGCAUUUUCCUACAACAGUAAGAUCUUUCCAAAUUGUACUAAAGUUGGUCUAAGGAUAAUUGGUUAGUAUGGUUUUGGUAAAGCAUCUAUGUCCAACUUAUUCAAUCUAUCAAGUGAAUGAAUCAACUUACUUCAUCAUAAUGCCAAACUCAGUUCUAGUGCAUGUAUAAUAUCAAGUUUUGCAAGUUCAAGUUUCAAUCAAUCUAGCAUGCUUCCUAUCCACAGUUUAUAAAUCAACACCAAAUCUCAAAUUUAAUCAUCAUUUUCAGCCAAACUGUCUAACCCACACAAGCACACAAUCAAAAAUAAGUAAAAAUAAAUGAAAAUUUAACGAUUUUUUUUUAUAGGCACGUUUUUUUUUUUUUUUGUAACAUAUGUAAACAACGCAUGAGAACAUACGAAAACCAAAAACACAAAGUGUUUCCCACCCCCAAACUUAAGUUCGACAUUGUCCUCAAUGUCUUAAAACAUGAUUAAGAAUAUAAGGGGACGGGGAAGAAAAGGACGAAGGUACUCCCUGAAUUUUUCUAUUGAACGUGGAAGAUACUGUAGGUGACGGCCAGAUAAACUUUCUUAUCAUGCUUUCCCCUUGGUCGAUAUUGGUUUGAGUAUUCCAUGACGUCAUGUUUCUUCAUAUGGCAAUCAAAUCAAACAACAGGGAUCAAAUAAUCCAAAACGUGUGUUACUCAACCCAAACACUCGAAAUAACCAACAUUAUAUUUAAGGGCCUCGGUGAAAGCAUGAUUGGAUGAUGACACCACAUAAAUUAAACGUGCCUAAAUCUAAUGCAACUAAUAAUUAAAAGAAAUCUAUAUGCAAUGCGAUGCGAAAAACAAAAUAAAAUAAAAGGUUUAAAAUUUGGGUUGCCUCCCAAUAAGCACUUAAUUUAUAGUCUUUAGCUAGACUUUGUUGUCCUGGCUACUCUACAUUAUCAGGUGGUACGGUUGUUUUUUCAGUGGAGUAGUCACCUCCCCAAUAAGCUUUCAACGGUUGUCCAUUUACUUUGAACCUCCUUUGUUGAUCUUGAGACACCACUUCCACAGCACCAUAUGGAAAUACAUCUAUUACUGUGAAUGGACCCGACCACCUAGACUUUAGCUUUCCCGGAAAAAGUUUGAGACGUGAAUUGAACAUCAAUACUUGUUGACCAACCUUAAACUCCUUCUCCCUUAUGUGCCUGUCGUGCCAUUUCUUGGUCUUUUCCUUAUAAUUUUUUGCAUUCUCAUACGAAUCCAAAAGAAACUCAUCUAGCUCAUGAAGUUGUAGAACCCUCUUUUCUCCUGCUGCUCUCAUAUUGAAAUUGAGCAAGUGUGUCGCCCAAUAUGCUUUAUGCUCUAACUCAACCGGUAGAUGACAAGCUUUUCCGAAUACCAGUCGAUAUGGAGACAUGCCAAUUGGAGUCUUAAAUGCUGUUCUAUACGCCCAAAGUGCAUCGUCUAGUUUCUUAGCCCAAUCUUUACGUGAUGCAUUGACAGUAGCCUCGAGAAUCUUCUUUAACUCCCUAUUAGAGAUUUCCACCUGCCCGCUAGUCUGAGGGUGGUAUGGAGUCGAGACAUGAUGUUUCACUCCAUAUUUGGCCAACAACGAAGCAAAUAAGCGGUUGCAAAAACCCGAUUGUAGUACCUUUGCUGCUGUCUUGGUUGCGGCGAAGUGGCCCCCAUACGGUGCAGAGUGACAUGACUCUAAUACUUAAUGCUGCUCCACCUCUGGCACACAACGGCGUAUGAUCUGAUCUGAACCCUUUCUGUAAAGAAUUGGAUCAUCCCAAAAGUAGUGUUUUAGGUCACUAAAGAAUUUCUUCUUUUGGUGACUCGAGUAGUCUGGUGGGAUGAUGGAGCGGGCCAAAUAAUUGACAUAAUCAGCGUACCAUGGUGUAGUGAUAAUUUGAAAGAGCAUUUCAUCAGGAAAGACUUCAUUGAUCUCCAAUGUAGGAUUUGACUCAUGUGAUUCAAGGCGUGAGAGGUGAUCUGGCACAACAUUCUCACUCCCCUUUUUAUCUCUAAUUUCCAGAUCAAACUCUUGCAAUAGGAGUAUCCAACGAAUAAGUCUCGGCUUUGCAUCCUUCUUGCUCAUUAGAUAUUUUAAUGCUGAAUGAUCUGUAUAGACAAUCACUUUUGACCCAAUCAAGUAUGAUCUGAAUUUGUCAACGGCGAACACUACUACUAACAGUUCUUUCUCUGUAGUCGUAUAAUUCAUUUGAGCCUCAUCCAAAGUCUUACUAGCAUAGUGAAUCACAUGAGAACUUUUCUCCUUUCGUUGACCCAACACUGCACCCACUGCAUGAUCACUGGCAUCACACAUAAGCUCGAACGGAUAAUUCCAAUCUGGAGAAGCUAAUACUAGAGCAGAAACCAAUUUUUCUUUUAAGGCAUUGAAAGCUGUCAAGCAAUCCUUAGAAAAGUGAAAUGGGGCUGCUUUUUCCAGUAAAUUGCACAAUGGCUUCGAGAUUUUGGAAAAGUCUUUGAUGAAGCGACGGUAGAACCCAGCUUGACCCAGGAAACUUCUAACUCCUUUUACUGUUACUGACGGUGGUAGUUUUUCGAUGACUUGUAUCUUAGCUCUAUCAACCUCAAUACCUCGUGCUGAAAUUAAAUGUCCUAACACUAUCCCUUCCUGAACCAUGAAAUGACACUUUUCCCAAUUUAAUACAAGGUUUGUGUCUUCACACCGCUGUAACACUUUUUCCAAAUGUUCAAGGCAUUCCUUGAAUGAUUUUCCAAACACUGAGAAAUCAUCUAUAAACACCUCAAUGAUAUUUCCCACCAUAUCCGAGAAAAUAGACAUCAUACAACGUUGAAAGGUGGCAGGAGCAUUACAGAGACCGAAGGGCAUUCUCCUAUAAGCAAAAGUGACAUAAGGGCAUGUAAAGGUCGUCUUCUCUUGGUCAUCUGGUGCUAUAAGAAUUUGGUUGUACCCCGAAUAACCAUCCAGGAAGCAAUAGUACGCAUGUCCAGCAAGUCUUUCCAGUAUCUGAUCAAUGAAAGGAAGGGAAAAGUGAUCCUUCCUUGUGGCGUUGUUGAAUUUGCGAUAAUCAAUGCAAACUCUCCAACCCGUGACUGUGCUUGUCGGGAUGAGCUCAUUGUUUUCAUUUGGAACCACUGUGAUCCCUCCCUUUUUCGGUACGACCUGUACUGGACUCACCCAAUGACUAUCUGAUAUGGGAUAGAUGAUCCCUGCAUCCAGAAGCUUUAAUAUCUCUUUCCUUACCACUUCCUACAUAGUCGGAUUUAAUCUGCGUUGAUGCUCAAUUGAAGCUUUGUAAUCAUCUUCCAUCAGUAUUUUAUGCAUGCAAAGCAAAGGGCUGAUCCCUUUUAUAUCCGAUAUCGUCCAUCCUAUUGUUGUCUUAUGCUCUCGAAGCACCCUCAGUAAUUGAUCCUCCUCCACGUCUGUAAGAUUGUUUGAGAUGAUUACUGGAAGUGAAUUCUUUUCCCCCAAGUACUCAAUCUUCAAAGCGAAGCAAAUCAGUCCUUCCAUUUUUAUAGCUACUUUGAUUCCCAAAAAUUGCAUCCAAUAGCCAAUUUAAUCCACAUACUUUGGAUUUUGCUAUUUCCGCCCUUUUUGCUUCUUUCCUUCCAUUCCUUUUUAUUCGUAGAGUUUCACCUAUUAAACGUAAAACAUAACAAUUUAGAAUGUAUUUUGUCAAAAGACUAUCAAAUAUCGCUAUUUUAGAGUCCCGAAUAAGU
rnacentral:lncRNA from 1 species